rnacentral:rRNA from 1 species
GAAUGCUGACAUAAGUAACGAUAAAGCGGGUGAAAAGCCCGCUCGCCGGAAGACCAAGGGUUCCUGUCCAACGUUAAUCGGGGCAGGGUGAGUCGACCCCUAAGGCGAGGCCGAAAGGCGUAGUCGAUGGGAAACGGGUUAAUAUUCCCGUACUUGGUGUUACUGCGAAGGGGGGACGGAGAAGGCUAUGUUGGCCGGGCGACGGUUGUCCCGGUUUAAGCGUGUAGGUGUGUGUUCCAGGUAAAUCCGGUUCACUUUAACACUGAGGCGUGAUGACGAGGCACUACGGUGCUGAAGCAACAAAUGCCCUGCUUCCAGGAAAAGCCUCUAAGCAUCAGGUAACAUCAAAUCGUACCCCAAACCGACACAGGUGGUCAGGUAGAGAAUACCAAGGCGCUUGAGAGAACUCGGGUGAAGGAACUAGGCAAAAUGGUGCCGUAACUUCGGGAGAAGGCACGCUGACACGUAGGUGAAGUGAUUUACUCAUGGAGCUGAAGUCAGUCGAAGAUACCAGCUGGCUGCAACUGUUUAUUAAAAACACAGCACUGUGCAAACACGAAAGUGGACGUAUACGGUGUGACGCCUGCCCGGUGCCGGAAGGUUAAUUGAUGGGGUCAGCGCAAGCGAAGCUCCUGAUCGAAGCCCCGGUAAACGGCGGCCGUAACUAUAACGGUCCUAAGGUAGCGAAAUUCCUUGUCGGGUAAGUUCCGACCUGCACGAAUGGCGUAAUGAUGGCCAGGCUGUCUCCACCCGAGACUCAGUGAAAUUGAACUCGCUGUGAAGAUGCAGUGUACCCGCGGCAAGACGGAAAGACCCCGUGAACCUUUACUAUAGCUUGACACUGAACAUUGAGCCUUGAUGUGUAGGAUAGGUGGGAGGCUUUGAAGUGUGGACGCCAGUCUGCAUGGAGCCGACCUUGAAAUACCACCCUUUAAUGUUUGAUGUUCUAACGUGGACCCGUUACCCGGGUUGCGGACAGUGUCUGGUGGGUAGUUUGACUGGGGCGGUCUCCUCCUAAAGAGUAACGGAGGAGCACGAAGGUUGGCUAAUCCUGGUCGGACAUCAGGAGGUUAGUGCAAUGGCAUAAGCCAGCUUGACUGCGAGCGUGACGGCGCGAGCAGGUGCGAAAGCAGGUCAUAGUGAUCCGGUGGUUCUGAAUGGAAGGGCCAUCGCUCAACGGAUAAAAGGUACUCCGGGGAUAACAGGCUGAUACCGCCCAAGAGUUCAUAUCGACGGCGGUGUUUGGCACCUCGAUGUCGGCUCAUCACAUCCUGGGGCUGAAGUAGGUCCCAAGGGUAUGGCUGUUCGCCAUUUAAAGUGGUACGCGAGCUGGGUUUAGAACGUCGUGAGACAGUUCGGUCCCUAUCUGCCGUGGGCGCUGGAGAACUGAGGGGGGCUGCUCCUAGUACGAGAGGACCGGAGUGGACGCAUCACUGGUGUUCGGGUUGUCAUGCCAAUGGCACUGCCCGGUAGCUAAAUGCGGAAGAGAUAAGUGCUGAAAGCAUCUAAGCACGAAACUUGCCCCGA